CCUGAGAAACCUAAAAGGUCGAAUGGGGAGAUUCAUCGUCAAUGCGUUCAGUAUAUGUUCAGGUUACGAUGUGAAUACUUAUACGUGACUACAUUUUACUGCUGAAUGUCGUCGGCGUGCACUUCUCCCCUAGUAGGACAUCGUGACCCGUUGAGUGUCGUUUUAUGGCCCGAACUUUGAUUAAUUAAAGACCAUCGGAAUUAAAGACCAUCGGUGACCUGAUCGACUGCUCGACGGGGUAUUGAGUCGCAAUAUAUAUGCGUCUAUGCGUCUGGCCCGUCGCAAGCGAGGACAGCUCGGCAGUGCGGAUUUAAUGCCGUCGUUGAGACGGUGUUCUUAGACUGGCUCAAACAAAAAUUACCGGUCAACGAUGCUACUGCUUUGGGUACUUUCAGGACCCGUCUUGAAACACGGACCAAGGAGUCUAACAUGUGCGCGAGUCAUUGGGAUUUAUUAAACCUAAAGGCGCAAUGAAAGUAAAGGWCGUC
rnacentral:rRNA from 1 species